UGGGGAAUAUUGCACAAUGGAGGAAACUCUGAUGCAGCAACGCCGCGUGAAGGAUGAAGGUUUUCGGAUUGUAAACUUCUUUGACGAGGGACGAAUAAUGACGGUACCUCGAAAACAAGCCACGGCUAACUACGUGCCAGCAGCCGCGGUAAUACGUAGGUGGCAAGCGUUGUUCGGAAUUACUGGGUGUAAAGGGCGUGUAGGCGGUUAUGUAAGUCAGAAGUGAAAUACCCGAGCUCAACUCGGGGGCUGCUUUUGAAACUAUGUAACUUGAGUGAUGGAGAGGCAGGCAGAAUUCCCGGUGUAGCGGUGAAAUGCGUAGAUAUCGGGAGGAAUACCGGUGGCGAAGGCGGCCUGCUGGACAUUAACUGACGCUGAGGCGCGAAAGCGUGGGGAGCAAACA
rnacentral:rRNA from 1 species